rnacentral:rRNA from 1 species
AACGGCGAGUGAAGCGGCAAGAGCUCAAAUUUGAAAUCUGGCCUCCCCCGGGGCCGAGUUGUAAUUUGCAGAGGAUGUUUCGGGUGCGGCCGCCGUCUAAGUUCCUUGGAACAGGACGUCAGAGAGGGUGAGAAUCCCGUCUUGGGCGGGCGGUCCGCGCCCGUGUGAAGCUCCUUCGACGAGUCGAGUUGUUUGGGAAUGCAGCUCUAAGCGGGUGGUAAAUUUCAUCUAAAGCUAAAUAUUGGCCGGAGACCGAUAGCGCACAAGUAGAGUGAUCGAAAGGUUAAAAGCACCUUGAAAAGGGAGUUAAACAGCACGUGAAAUUGUUGAAAGGGAAGCGCUUGCGGCCAGACUCGGGGGCGGGGUUCAGCGGGUGCUCGUCGCCCGUGUAUUCCUCGUUUCCCGGGCCAGCAUCAGUUUCGACGGCCGGUCAAAGGCCCCCGGAAUGUGUCGUCUCUCGGGACGUCUUAUAGCCGGGGGUGCAAUGCGGCCCGUCGGGACUGAGGAACGCGCUCCGGCUCGGAUGCUGGCGUAAUGGCCGUAAGCGGCCCGUCUUGAAACACGGACCAAGGAGUCUAACAUCCACGCGAGUGUUCGGGUGUCAAACCCGUGCGCGCAGUGAAAGCGAACGGAGGUGGGAGCCCUAGGGCGCACCAUCGACCGAUCCUGAAGUCUUCGGAUGGAUUUGAGUAGGAGCGUGGCCGUUGGGACCCGAAAGAUGGUGAACUAUGCCUGAAUAGGGUGAAGCCAGAGGAAACUCUGGUGGAGGCUCGCAGCGGUUCUGACGUGCAAAUCGAUCGUCAAAUUU